UACGUAGGGGGCAAGCGUUGUCCGGAAUCAUUGGGCGUAAAGAGCGUGUAGGCGGCCUGGUAAGUCCGCUGUGAAAGUCCAGGGCUCAACCCUGGAAUGCCGGUGGAAACUGUCAGGCUCGAGUCCGGAAGAGGCGAGUGGAAUUCCUGGUGUAGCGGUGAAAUGCGCAGAUAUCAGGAGGAACACCGAUGGCGAAGGCAGGUCUCUGGGCCACUACUGACGCUGAGGCACGAAAGCUAGGGGAGCAAACAGG
rnacentral:rRNA from 1 species